AUUGAACGCUGGCGGCAGGCCUAACACAUGCAAGUCGAGCGGAUGAAGGGAGCUUGCUCCUGGAUUCAGCGGCGGACGGGUGAGUAAUGCCUAGGAAUCUGCCUGGUAGUGGGGGAUAACGUCCGGAAACGGGCGCUAAUACCGCAUACGUCCUGAGGGAGAAAGUGGGGGAUCUUCGGACCUCACGCUAUCAGAUGAGCCUAGGUCGGAUUAGCUAGUUGGUGGGGUAAAGGCCUACCAAGGCGACGAUCCGUAACUGGUCUGAGAGGAUGAUCAGUCACACUGGAACUGAGACACGGUCCAGACUCCUACGGGAGGCAGCAGUGGGGAAUAUUGGACAAUGGGCGAAAGCCUGAUCCAGCCAUGCCGCGUGUGUGAAGGAGGUCUUCAGAUUGUAAAGCACUUUAAGUUGGGAGGAAGGGCAGUAAGUUAAUACCUUGCUGUUUUGACGUUACCAACAGAAUAAGCACCGGCUAACUUCGUG
rnacentral:rRNA from 1 species